GCCUGGGUGGCUCAGUUGGUUGAGUGUCUGACUUCAGCUCAGGUCAUGAUCUCACGGUUUGUGAGUUCGAACCCCACAUCAGUCU
rnacentral:tRNA from 1 species